rnacentral:rRNA from 1 species
CCUACGGGAGGCAGCAGUGGGGGAUAUUGCACAAUGGGGGAAACCCUGAUGCAGCGACGCCGCGUGAGCGAUGAAGUAUUUCGGUAUGUAAAGCUCUAUCAGCAGGGAAGAAAAUGACGGUACCUUACUAAGAAGCCCCGGCUAACUACGUGCCAGCAGCCGCGGUAAUACGUAGGGAGCAAGCGUUAUCCGGAUUUACUGGGUGUAAAGGGAGCGUAGACGGCAGAGCAAGUCUGAAGUGAAAGGCAUGGGCUCAACCCUUGGACUGCUU